UAUUUGCUUAACUUUGGUGCUGCACACCGUCUUUAGGCAGAUGCUUUUUUUUUUCCUUUUCAUUGCCACACCUGUGGUACAUGGAAGUUCUUCGGCUACGGGUUCAAUUGGAGCUGCAGCUGCCGGCCUACACCACAGUCACAGUAAUGUGGAAUCCGAGGUGCAACUUCCAUCUACACCACAGUUUGCGGCAACACUGAAUCCUAACCCACUGAGCAAGGCCAGGGAUGGAACCUACAUCCUCAUGGAUAUUGGUCAGGUUCUUUGAGCCACAAUGGGAACUCUUAAGCAGAUGCUUUCUGAUCACCUCAAAUGGACCAAGGUCAUCUCUAUGGAAUUUUUUCCUUGUUGUGCUACUUUAUUUUUCCUUAGCAUGAUCUUGGCAAGAUAAGAGCAAAAUGACAAGAUACAGGUAGUGAGAAUGGAGAGAAAUACUGAUAUGUCUGAUAUUGACAAAAGCUUGAGCUCAUGUAUUAAUUAGGCAGAACUGUACUACUAGCUCUAUGGCCCAUAUCACCCUCUGAGAAUGGACGAAUGCUGCCACGCUGCUCCCGAAACCCAGUGACAUGGAAGCAGACCUUGCCAGGGGCAGUAGAGUGGACCGGAAAAAGGAGAUGCAGAGUUAAGGACUCAACUCAAGGCACAAAAUGCCUGAAGUUCAACCAAGCCAGACAGUGAAGCCCAUGGCAUAGUUUUUCCAACACCUUAGCUGCAUCUGGAUGUGCCCUUACCUAUAUAUUAAGGAACAGCUUUAUUGAGAUUUAGUUCAUUAUCUCAUAAAGUCUGCUCUUCUAAGGUAUACAAUUCAUUGAUUUUUAAUAUAUUCACAAAGUUGUCUAUCACACUGCAUAAUCUCAUAAAUUUUUCAUCACCCCAAAAGAAACUCUACACCCAUUACAGUCACAUUCUGUUCUUCCCUCCCACUAGGCUCCAGCAAACACUAAGUGACCUUCUGUCUCUAUGGAUUUGCCAAUUCUUAACACUUCAAAUAAAAGUAUGGCCUUCUGCGUCUGGCUUCUUUCACCCCUCAUUAUGUUCAUCCAUGUUGCUAACAGAACUUUAUUUUUUAAUGGUCUCUUCAUUGAAUGGAAAGACCACAUUUUAUUGGUCCAUUCACAUCCCAGCACCCUUGUUGGAGCGGCCGGGGGGGGGGGGGGGACUGACCAUAAAGGUAAGGGUUUAUUUCUGGACUCUCAGUUCUAUUCCACUGAUCAGUAUGACUACACUGCAGCUUUGUAGUAAGUUUUUAAAUCGAGAAUAGUGAAUCCCUGCACUUCGUUGUUUUGAAAGCUUGUUCUGGAUAUUCUGAGUCCCUUGCAUUUGUAUGUGAAUCUUAGGGUCAGCUUAUCAAUUUCUGCAAAAAAGCCAGGGUGGAUUUUAAAGGUAUUUCACUGAAUGUGUAUAUCAUUUUGUAAAAUGAAAUUGCUUUCUUAAUUUCACUUCUGGAUUUUUUUCAUUAUCCUUGUAUCCCACAACCUUCCCGAACUUAUUAGUUCAAGGUGGUUUUUUGUGACUGCAUCAUGUUAUCUAUGACUAGAGAUGGUUUUAUUUCUCAAUGUCUUUUAUAAUUUUUUUUACUAAUUGUCCUGGAUAACAAUCUCUAGUACAAUGCUGAAGUGAAGUGGUGAGAAUGGCCAUUCUUGUCUUGCUCAUGAUCUUAGGAGAAAAUAUCCACUUUUUCACCAUUUCUUUUCAACUUCAGAAUCUCUGCAUUUCUUUUUUUAAUAAUCUUCACUUCUUUCUGUAUUCACAUUUUUAUUUGGUGCUAUAUCAUUUCACACUUUCCUUUAACUCUUUAGACAUGGUUUCCUAUAGAUUCUUUGACCAUAUCUAUCAAAGCUAAGUUUUGUGUAGUAUAUUGAACAACUAUGCUCUCUCAAGGACAGUUUCUAUUGACUGCUUUUUCCCCUAUGUAUAGGCCAUGCUUUUCUGUUUCUUUAGAUGCCUUGUAAUUUUCUGUUGGAAACUAGACUUAUAAAAUAAUACAAUGUGUCAGUGUGUGGAAAUCGAUUCCAAAAUUAUUGUCAUGGACCUCAGCAUUGUUUGCUGUUGCUAUUUAGUGAUUGUCUUGGACUAAUUCUAUAAAGUCUGUAUUUUCCUUUGUUUGCUUUUUUUUGGUCAUAUGUGGCCACCGAAGUCUCUGAUUAUUUCACUUAGUGGUUCACUAGUGAUUGAACAGAGAUUUCCUUAAAUGCUUUGAACUAAUAAGUCCUCCAGCCUUUAGCAAGGGCUUAUGUGAGUGUGUUGGAGCAUGUUUUCAAUGCUCUCCCAGCCAGUUUAUAAUUCCACCUUAGUCUUCACUCUCUACUUGUAAAGAAUCUUUUCUCCAGUCUUCCCUGGGAAUGUGGAGUCUUGUAGAGUCCCAGAAAUACAUUAGAAUUUUCCAAAGUUUUCUCUUAGAAUUUUUUGAUCAGCUACUGGUUGUCCCCAAAUAGCAACACCAUCUCAGACAGCUGUGAUUAAACUGAAACUGUCCAUUCUCAACAACUGUUAAGUAAGGUCUUUACAAAAAGUGUGCUCUGAGUCAGAUCAAAUAAAAACAAGCCCUAAGAAUGGAGAUUGUACACAAGCUGCCAGACGGGUGACACUUCUUUGGAAGUGGGCCUUUGGCGGAGUUCCGAUUCGGUUCUACCCUAUCCAGUGGCUACCAGAAUGGUGGUUUUCACUGCUAACACGGCUGCAAGGCUGUUGGCUUUCAAGGCCACGAUGGAGCCGGGACAAAGGGGAUGAGAUCAGCAGAAGUUAAAACACCACAAAGUUCACUGUUCCUACUGAAAUCCCAUGGUUCUUCUUGCAUAUUCCUCAGAAUGUUCCAAGUCCUUAGCUAAUUUCCAAAGUUCUGAAAAAGUUGAUAUUGAUAUGUCUUGCCACUGUUCUCAACACUUUUAUGGGGUAAUUUUCAAGAGGUCCUCUCUCCACCAUUUUGGAAUUCUAGGGUCCUUUUCUACAUUUUCAUGUGAAAUUUACUGAGAUAUUGACCACCAUUUAAAACUCAAUGUUAACUGUGUCAGCCGGCAUUACAACAUUAACACUUUCUAUUCACAUCCCAAGAGACUGCUGCUCCUCUAACAGCAUGCACAAGAAAGAUCUGGAAAAGUCACAAUCGCUGCCCUCUAAUCCAGCCAAAUGUUCUUCCAGGGGAAUCCCUAGGACUGCUUCCCAAAACCAAGCCAACAAAAGAGAAAAAUGAUUCAAACAUGCAGUAGUUUUAGUAAUACGUUUCUCACAUUACUAAAUUUAUACUGACUUCAACAUCUGAAAGUUGGUUCCUGGCAAGGUGGCCCCAUUUUCAACUCUAACAUGGCUGGUGCUCUCAGCUGCUUGGUAAGUUGUGGAAAUAAAUGCUUCACAACUGUGCUUAUCCUGCUGUUAACACUUGCUGAGGAAGGGCAUAAAGAGUUCCUAUUUUCUGAUAAACCAUCCCAGAGAAGAGCACGUAACAAGAAGCCACACGGGAAUGCACCCUUUUCAAAAGGAGAAUUAAAGGAGCCAGUGCUUCAGAGGCCCUGCUCUGUCCCCUACUAACAUACUGUAUUACUCAUCCCAUUGCUUGAGAUCCAAGCCUGGUCCACGGCCAUCCACCUCAGGGACAUCUCUCAAGCUUCUCCCUUUCUUCAAUGACUAAUGGGAAAAGAGAAGAUAAACAGUAGGUGGGGAAUUUUGACAUUUUCCCCCUUGUAGAUCUUCUAUCAGUCCUCUUAGAGUAAUUGUGAGACAAGGGAUAACACCUAACAUAAGACCAUUUAGAGAAUUUGCUUACUUUUGUCUGAGUGCCCCCAACCCAUACCCACUCUUUCCUCACCUAGUUCCUGGCACUUUGCAAGGAACAAUCAUUAUUCUCUCUACUGAGAUGAAAAACAAAUCAUCGAGAUUUACAACAGCUAAGAGAGUUGCUUCUGUUCUUUGUGUUGAAGAAUUCUGCAGCCCUGUGGCCAAACAGUGCAGUCCCAUUUUGCCAUCAGGAAAUUCCACCCCAAGCUCACCUUUCUAUCCUGACACAGACCACCUGCAUUCCCCUGCUGCCACCACCAGCUGUCACAGGAUCCCUACAUGCCCAGGCAGGCUAAGAAGUACCAACUUCCCAGAUCACCUCACCUCACCUCCCUUCUGCAAAACACUGAGACACUUCUUUCUCCAGCUUCCACUACUCAAAUAGCUCCACUGGGACAUUAAUUAUAUAUUAGAAAGGACAAUAUAUGUGGGCAGCCACAAAAGCACUGAAAGUGUUGCAAAGUUCCCAUUGAGCUACUCAUUUUACUUCCUAGCUUACAGUUUCAUUUCUUAGCAAAAAGACCCUAAUCCAUGGGAAUUACCGGUGUGAGAGGUAAUGCAGGUAUGCUCCUGGAGGCCCCCCUGGUCAGGUGUGCUAAGUGUUCCAGGUAAGUCACGUGUUCCCCCUACAGGCCCUUGCAGCAGUUCACCCCACCUUGCCCCUGGCCUUUGCUUUAACCAGAAAGCAUCCAAUUAUUCAUGAUAAUUCCUCCAAUGAAAACAGCAAAUGGGUAUCAGAGAGCUAAUCUAUAGUUACCUUCAAUUAUUAAGAUAAUUUAUCAUUUCCUUUUACUGUCAUACUUCACAGCCUGAGACCUAUGGUAUUACAUACAGACCUCCCCAACUUUGGGUUCAAACACUUGCAAGUAUCAUAUGUGAAUGUGGACUUUUCCCAGGCUUGUUUUAAACUAGGAUGCCACACUACCUGAGCAGGACUGUAAACCAACAACAUUAUUCUCCAUAUCAGUUUGCUUCUGUGUUAUGCCAACCUCUCACCUGUUUUACUGUUGUUCUUUCUUGGCAGAAACCAACUGCAUUUACAUUUAAAUAUUCACUUUAAGAGAGUGAACCUUAAGUUCUUAAAUUGAUAAGCAUAACAUUUAAAAAAAAAUUUGGAGUUCCCGUUGUGGCACAGUGGUUAACGAAUCCGACUAGGAACCAUGAGGUUGAGGGUUCAAUCCCUGCCCUUGCUCAGUGGGUCAAGGUUCUGGUGUUGCCGUGAGUUGUGGUGUAGGUCGCAGACGUGGCUCGGAUCCUGCGUUGCUAUGGCUCUGGCGUAGGCUGGCAGCUGCAGCUCCGAUUCGACCCCUAGCCCAGGAACCUCCAUAUGCCGCAGAAGUGGCCCAAGAAAUGGCAAAAAGACAAAAAAUAAAUAAAUAAAUAAAUAAAUAAAA
rnacentral:lncRNA from 1 species